rnacentral:rRNA from 1 species
UACGUAGGGUGCAAGCGUUUAAUCGGAAUUACUGGGCGUAAAGCGUGCGCAGGCGGUUGUGCAAGACCGAUGUGAAAUCCCCGGGGCUUAACCUGGGAAUGGCAUUGGUGACUGCACGGCUAGAGUGUGUCAGAGGGGGGGUAGAAUUCCACGUGUAGCAGUGAAAUGCGUAGAGAUGUGGAGGAAUACCGAUGGCGAAGGCAGCCCCCCUGGGAUAACACUGACGCUCAUGCACGAAAGCGUGGGGGAGCAAAACAGG